UUAUAGGUGGCUCAGAGGUUAAAGCGUCUGCCUGUAAUGCGGGAGACCUGGGUUCGAUCCCCAGCUUGGGAA